rnacentral:rRNA from 1 species
GACGAACGCUGGCGGCGUGCCUAAUACAUGCAAGUCGAACGAGAGCAACCGGUGCUUGCACUGGUCAAUCUAGUGGCGAACGGGUGAGUAACACGUGGGUAACCUGCCCAUCAGAGGGGGAUAACAUCCGGAAACGGAUGCUAAAACCGCAUAGGUCUUCGAACCGCAUGGUUUGAAGAGGAAAAGAGGCGCAAGCUUCUGCUGAUGGAUGGACCCGCGGUGCAUUAGCUAGUUGGUGAGGUAACGGCUCACCAAGGCCGUGAUGCAUAGCCGACCUGAGAGGGUGAUCGGCCACAUUGGGACUGAGACACGGCCCAAACUCCUACGGGAGGCAGCAGUAGGGAAUCUUCCGCAAUGGACGCAAGUCUGACGGAGCAACGCCGCGUGAGUGAAGAAGGUUUUCGGAUCGUAAAACUCUGUUGUUAGAGAAGAACAAGUGCUAGAGUAACUGUUAGCGCCUUGACGGUAUCUAACCAGAAAGCCACGGCUAACUACGUG